UUGGUGACCAGCGGAGGGAUCAUUACCGAGUUUACAACUCCCAAACCCAAUGUGAACGUUACCAAACUGUUGCCUCGGCGGGAUCUCUGCCCCGGGUGCGUCGCAGCCCCGGACCAAGGCGCCCGCCGGAGGACCAACCAAAACUCUUAUUGUAUACCCCCUCGCGGGUUUUUUUAUAAUCUGAGCCUUCUCGGCGCCUCUCGUAGGCGUUUCGAAAAUGAAUCAAAACUUUCAACAACGGAUCUCUUGGUUCUGGCAUCGAUGAAGAACGCAGCGAAAUGCGAUAAGUAAUGUGAAUUGCAGAAUUCAGUGAAUCAUCGAAUCUUUGAACGCACAUUGCGCCCGCCAGUAUUCUGGCGGGCAUGCCUGUCCGAGCGUCAUUUCAACCCUCGAACCCCUCCGGGGGGUCGGCGUUGGGGAUCGGCCCUGCCUUGGCGGUGGCCGUCUCCGAAAUACAGUGGCGGUCUCGCCGCAGCCUCUCCUGCGCAGUAGUUUGCACACUCGCAUCGGGAGCGCGGCGCGUCCACAGCCGUUAAACACCCAACUUCUGAAAUGUUGACCUCGGAUCAGGUAGGAAUACCCGCUGAACUUAAGCAUAUCAAUAAGCGGAGGAA
rnacentral:rRNA from 1 species